rnacentral:rRNA from 1 species
ACGGGUGAGUAAUACAUCGGAACGUGCCCAGUAGUGGGGGAUAGCCCGGCGAAAGCCGGAUUAAUACCGCAUACGACCUACGGGUGAAAGCGGGGGAUCGCAAGACCUCGCGCUAUCGGAGCGGCCGAUGUCAGAUUAGCUAGUUGGUGGGGUAAAGGCCUACCAAGGCGACGAUCUGUAGCUGGUCUGAGAGGACGACCAGCCACACUGGGACUGAGACACGGCCCAGACUCCUACGGGAGGCAGCAGUGGGGAAUUUUGGACAAUGGGCGCAAGCCUGAUCCAGCCAUGCCGCGUGCGGGAAGAAGGCCUUCGGGUUGUAAACCGCUUUUGUCAGGGAAGAAACGCGCCGGAUUAAUACCUCGGCGUAAUGACGGUACCUGAAGAAUAAGCACCGGCUAACUACGUGCCAGCAGCCGCGGUAAUACGUAGGGUGCAAGCGUUAAUCGGAAUUACUGGGCGUAAAGCGUGCGCAGGCGGCUUUGCAAGACAGAUGUGAAAUCCCCGGGCUUAACCUGGGAACUGCAUUUGUGACUGCAUGGCUGGAGUGCGGCAGAGGGGGAUGGAAUUCCGCGUGUAGCAGU